rnacentral:lncRNA from 1 species
UAGCAACUGUUGACAGUUGGGGAAAUGGCUGCUAGUCAGAUUAGCUUGUUUCAACUUGCUUGGACAGUUCCCCAACCUGCACCAUCUCCAUUUUGUCCAGAAGUCUACUAGUUAAAGGGGAGCAGGUUUACUUUACUACUACAAUGUACACUCAUCAUACAGUUUAUUAGGUACAGCACGACAUUCACAAAAAUGGAUUGCUUCUACAGCUACUAGUCUGCUUAUCUAAUCUCUUGGCUACCGUUUUUCAUUUUUUACAGAUGAAGCAAUUUUGCGACAACACCGCUUAUGAACACCUACUCAACCACUAAGCUGAUCUUCCUGUAUGCUCGUGAGGAUGCCUCCUGCCACCUCUGUCACCUGUCAGACCACCUCCUGCAGACCACCUGCUGCUUCCUCUGCUAUAUCUGAUUCCCUGUCC